AGAGGCAGCUUUCUCGUCCCGCUCCCCCACCCCCCGCCCCGGCAUAAUCUGCGGUUGAUUGGACAGCUGCCCCUUCUUUUCUCGAAGCCCCACAGAUGGCUGACCAUCGCAACACAACGGACAAGAUGGCUCUUUUUCCUUUCUUAGCUCCCUUGCCCCCAAUACAUACCCACGUAACUAGGACGAACAUACGGAAAACCGAAGAGAAGGCGGUCACGGAGAGGCGGCAAGGAAGUUUUUCCAAAUCAGGCCUGUACAACUUCGAAGGGUGAAUGGAUGACCUCAUCUUAGAAGAGAUUUAUAGUCUAUCAACAGUUAAAGACAUGCAAUUGCUUUGCAAAAUGCAAGGGUUGCUAUGGUGGAGAUAAAUGAGAAGAGAUACCCCAUAAACAUCAUCUGAGCCAGACAUCUGUGCACAACCGUACCCUCUCCCCUUUCCUACAAGCAUAUGGCUUAUUUUUUUCAGUUUCCUGCAUUAAAAUCAGAUCGUAUUUGCUAUCCCUGUUCAUAAUUAUAAAAACAGUUGAGAAUCUUUAAACCAGGAACUUCAAAUCUAGAUCAUAACUACAAAAUGGCUCAAAUUCACCACACUCUAAUGGAAUAGGUAAUAUUGACAUACUUGUUAAACUCAGUUAAGCAACAAACCAACCAUAUUAUUGCUGAGCAUUGUGUGUGAACCAGGUUAGUCAAUGGGUUUAAGGAAGAACUGCCAAUUCUUCCAGACAUGCUUUUGGAGCUCAAGAAAGUACUGAGGACUUACUUCUUUACAUCACUGAUCAUGAAGAUUUUCAGGUCCUGGAUACAUUCUACCCCUCCUGAGUCUAAUUUAGUAUCAUUAAAUGUAUCUUAUUUAAUUUGGGCAAAUUAGCAACUGCCAUACUGCUGUCCUCUGUCUUACACAUGAUUUUUGCUUGCCAUAGAUAAAUGAUGAGUUGCCUUCACACCUGAUUCAGCAAGCUAAAUUUCAUGCUUCCUUUCCAAAUUAAGUUUGGAAACCUUUUUCAAUUUGGGGCUUCCCAUCAUAGUUUGGAGUACAAAUGUAAAUCACAGUUUGCCAUUGUGUCAGAACCAGUAAAUUACAAGUACCUUGAAUCAGACAAAUUAGAUCAGCCCUGGUCUACAUGAAGCCUUAAAAAUGGUCACAGAGGCUCUUGCUGUUAUCUCUGUUAAAUUCUUUUUCGCCUCAUCACCAUUUUACUUUUUAAAUAGAAAGAAUUGGAUGUACCAGUCUGAUUUCAAAGAGUGCCCAUCUUUAAUAAUUCUA